UACGUAGGGGGCAAGCGUUGUCCGGAAUCAUUGGGCGUAAAGCGCGUGUAGGCGGCCCGAUAAGUCCGCUGUGAAAGUCAAGGGCUCAACCCUUGAAAGCCGGUUGAUACUGUCGGGCUAGAGUCCGGAAGAGGCGAGUGGAAUUCCCGGUGUAGCGGUGAAAUGCGCAGAUAUCGGGAGGAACACCAAUGGCGAAGGCAGCUCGCUGGGACGGUACUGACGCUGAGACGCGAAAGCGUGGGGAGCAAACAGG
rnacentral:rRNA from 1 species